rnacentral:rRNA from 1 species
GGGGAAUUGUUCGCAAUGGGCGCAAGCCUGACGACGCAACGCCGCGUGGAGGACGAAGAUCUUCGGGUCGUAAACUCCUUUCGAUCGGGAAGAAUGGCUUCCGGGUGAACAGCCCGGAAGAAUGACGGUACCGAGAGAAGAAGCCCCGGCUAACUCUGUGCCAGCAGCCGCGGUAAUACAGGGGGGGCAAGCGUUGUUCGGAAUUACUGGGCGUAAAGGGCUCGUAGGCGGCCAACUAAGUCCGACGUGAAAUCCCAAGGCUUAACCUUGGAACUGCGUCGGAUACUGGUUGGCUUGAAUUCGGGAGAGGGAUGCAGAAUUCCAGGUGUAGCGGUGAAAUGCGUAGAUAUCGGGAGGAACACCUGUGGCGAAAGCGGCGCACUGGACCACAACUGACGCUGAGGCGCGAAAGCUAGGGGAGCAAAC